CCUACGGGUGGCAGCAGUGGGGAAUAUUGCACAAUGGGCGCAAGCCUGAUGCAGCCAUGCCGCGUGUGUGAAGAAGGCCUUCGGGUUGUAAAGCACUUUCAGCGGGGAGGAAGGCGUUAAGGUUAAUAACCUUGGCGAUUGACGUUACCCGCAGAAGAAGCACCGGCUAACUCCGUGCCAGCAGCCGCGGUAAUACGGAGGGUGCAAGCGUUAAUCGGAAUUACUGGGCGUAAAGCGCACGCAGGCGGUCUGUCAAGUCGGAUGUGAAAUCCCCGGGCUCAACCUGGGAACUGCAUUCGAAACUGGCAGGCUAGAGUCUUGUAGAGGGGGGUAGAAUUCCAGGUGUAGCGGUGAAAUGCGUAGAGAUCUGGCGGAAUACCGGUGGCGAAGGCGGCCCCCUGGACAAAGACUGACGCUCAGGUGCGAAAGCGUGGGGAGCAAACAGGAUUAGAUACCCCUGUAGUC
rnacentral:rRNA from 1 species